UCCUAACACAUGCAAGUCGAGCGAGGACUUCGGUCCUAGCGGCGGACGGGUGAGUAACGCGUGGGAACGUGCCCUUUGCUACGGAAUAGCCCUGGGAAACUGGGAGUAAUACCGUAUGUGCCCUUUGGGGGAAAGAUUUAUCGGCAAAGGAUCGGCCCGCGUUGGAUUAGGUAGUUGGUGGGGUAAUGGCCUACCAAGCCGACGAUCCAUAGCUGGUUUGAGAGGAUGAUCAGCCACACUGGGACUGAGACACGGCCCAGACUCCUACGGGAGGCAGCAGUGGGGAAUCUUAAACGAUGGGCGCAAGCCUGAUCUAGCCAUGCCGCGUGUUUAGAGAGGCCUUAGGGUUGUAAGGCUCUUCAGGGGGAAGAUAAUGA
rnacentral:rRNA from 1 species